rnacentral:rRNA from 1 species
CAGUAGCCGCGGUAACACCGAGGGUGCAAGCGUUAAUCGGAAUUACUGGGCGUAAAGCGCGCGUAGGUGGUUUGUUAAGUUGGAUGUGAAAGCCCCGGGCUCAACCUGGGAACUGCAUCCAAAACUGGCAAGCUAGAGUACGGUAGAGGGUGGUGGAAUUUCCUGUGUAGCGGUGAAAUGCGUAGAUAUAGGAAGGAACACCAGUGGCGAAGGCGACCACCUGGACUGAUACUGACACUGAGGUGCGAAAGCGUGGGGAGCAAACAGGAUUAGAUACCCCCGUAGUCCCUGUCUCUUAUAC